rnacentral:rRNA from 1 species
UACGAGGGGGGCGAGCGUUGUUCGGAAUUAUUGGGCGUAAGGGGUGCGUAGGCGGUUUGGUAAGUCUUGUGUGAAAUCUACAGGCUCAACUUGUAGUCUGCACGAGAAACUGCCGGGCUUGAGUAUGGGAGAGGUGAGUGGAAUUCCUGGUGUAGCGGUGAAAUGCGUAGAUAUCAGGAGGAACACCUGUGGCGAAAGCGGCUCACUGGACCAUAACUGACGCUGAUGCACGAAAGCUAGGGGAGCAAACGGG